ACGCACCUUUCCUGUAUUUGAAAAAGAACAACAAAGUCAAAGGACGAAGUCGAAAGAGAAACUUCCCGUUUAUCACGUAUAUUUAUGAAGCUUGUCAAACAGAUCAAUGGCUAAAAGGCAUCAAGUGGAGCAAAAUUAAAAUUCAGUUUUGGGAAUUCCAGUCUUUAAAAUCAUCAAAGAGUUUAAAUAUACUGCAAGAGUAAAAAGAUGUCACUUGGAAAUACUUAUCUGAUAAAGACCACUCCAGCUUAAAAUUUACCGCUGAAAGAUCCCGAGGUGGUGGAAGAAUGAUGACAUGCAAUAAGGAC